UACAGAGGUCUCAAGCGUUGUUCGGAUUCAUUGGGCGUAAAGGGUGCGUAGGUGGCGCCGUAAGUCGGGUGUGAAAUUUCGGAGCUUAACUCCGAAACUGCAUUCGAUACUGCGGUGCUUGAGGACUGGAGAGGAGACUGGAAUUCAUGGUGUAGCAGUGAAAUGCGUAGAGAUCAUGAGGAAGACCAGUGGCGAAGGCGAGUUUCUGGACAGUAACUGACGCUGAGGCACGAAGGCCAGGGGAGCAAACGGG
rnacentral:rRNA from 1 species